rnacentral:lncRNA from 10 species
CAAAUUCUUGCAGGUCCAGUGUUGGUUCUACAGGACAGCAUUUCAAACAUGGUGUUUAAUCUGGAGGAAACUAAAGAUUGGUGAGGUAUUCAAAAGGGAAAGAGCCAAGUCAAGAAUAAAAGAGAGGAUAAAGAUAAACAGUUCAAGAUCAGGAAAAGAGGCCAUUUGUUAAAGUUACUUGUCACCUUGAACAGCUGUUAUUGGACCACUAUACUUACAAUAAUUUUCACCUAAGAACUCAUUCUAGAGUUUACCUGGUGUGUGACAUGCAUCUAAGAGCUAUCAUCACAUUUUCAGGUCAAAUGAUAGAUCAGCCACAGGUAUAUAAUUUCCUUCUCCCCAAAGCUCUACUAAAACUAUAGAAAAUCUAUUUUAUUUCUUUAUUUUCAAAGACCUAGGAAAAGGAGAUACAAGUGAGGAGACCAUGGCAACAUUUGGAAAGCUGAAAACAAGUGGACACCUGGUAACUGGCUUAGCAGAACCAAGGAAACCAAAUCAUAGAAACUGGGAGGGGCAAGCAGAGAGCAAACCCAACUCCAUCACAUAUGUGUUGAAUGCUGGGGGAAUGGACACACCAAGCAGCUGCGGACAUGAGGAAUUCUGACAUGCUAAAUGCCAAGAAAAAAAAUCAGCCGAAAACAUCAGAAGAGAUUUUUGCGGAGGAAGACUAUGUCACACUUCCCUUCAGCUGCAACAGUAACUGAGGAAGAAAUUUUCCAACCUGUUUUACGGAUUACUUGAGAGACUCACCAGCUGAAGGGGACUGUUGCAGUGAAAUAGUCCAACUAAGAGGUGGCUCUGAAAGAGAGUGAAGAAAAGAAAUUCUUCAAAUGAUAAAUCUUGACGUUGCCUGGAGAGAGAUGGUCAGAA